rnacentral:ncRNA from 1 species
CCGGUUCUGCCGGUCGGGGAAUCAAAAGGGAAACGGGUGAAAGGCCCGUACAGUUCCCGCUGCUGUAUGCUCCUCCGCCUCGGGCGGAAUCGCGGAGCGGCUCUCUUUAACCACUGGUCCCGCGGGAUCGGGAAGGCGCCGCCGCCGGAGCGAGUCAGAAGACCUGCCGAUAC